GUUUUUCUACAAUCCUGAGGACUACUGAGACUUAAAUUGGGCUCUUGUUUGAUACAACAAAGUACAUUUUGAUUCAUCGAUUGAUUCAAGAAAUAUCUACGGAGCUCCUACUCAUGUGCCAGAUACCGUACUGAUCCUUGGAGGUGCAGGGAUGAGUGCACAGCACCCCUGUUCUCAUGGAAUUUACUGCUUGGUGAUAGAUGCAGACAUUAAACAAGUCAGCGAACAGAAUAUGUCCUGGCUUCUUAGAGAACUGUUGGGUGAAGAUUUUUUCUCUUCAGGAUGAAGAUCUUGCCAAAAUGUUGUAUCCAUGUCCCUGCUAGUAUUACCUACUAUUCCAGAAACCUGGUAAGUGUCUUGGGCUACAGCUGAAUGUCAUUAACUUUAGGUGCUAUAAAUCCAGUGUUAGCGAUGAAUUUAGGUUCACAUUCACCUUUGUUUAGCAGUUGUCUCCCUGUGCUACAUUUUGGAUGAAUAUUUAAAAUACUUAAGAUAAUAAUUUGCCUUUCAGCACCUUGGAACAUUACAGUCAUUUACAUUUGAUGAAAGUGAUUUUAACACAUUACCUUCUUUACUCACCACAAUAUCACUUCAGGAUGAACUCUGGCUAAGCCAGAAUUAAAUGGGCAAUUGAGAAUAAUAAAUUCUAUAAUUCAGACCUUUACUACAUUGUUUUUCUAGUAGUUGGGAUCAAAUGAAAAGUAGAAAAAGUACAUGGCAACACAGAGGUUACUCAAAAAAUAAUUGUGAAUUAAAUAAACUAAGGGCUUAUUUUUAAUUUUUUUUUUUCAAGAUGGAUGAAGAGAAACUCAUUUUCUAGCAUGGUUUCCUGAGUGUGUAUAUGUAUAUAUAUUUGCUGUUGUUUUUUAAAUAUUUUAUUUAUUGAGAGGGGGGAGGAGCAAAGGGAGAGAGAGAGAUAUACAAGUAGAUUCUACACUCACCACGGAGCUGAGUGGGGCUUGAUCUCACAACCCUGAGAUCAUGACCUGAGUUGAAAUCAAAAGUCAGUGGCUUAACCAAUGAAGCCAUCCAGGAGCCUCUUCUGAGUGUAUAUUGUUAAGCCCUUCUUGAAGCUGACUACUUAGCUCUUUCAACUCUGGCUUUAAGGGUCAUGGCUCCUACUUCGUUCCUGUUACUACUGUUGGUCACAUUCUCAGCUGUCACCCAGGAUGCUCUUAGGUCUUAAAGGAUGUCCCCUUGUGCCCCUACUUCAUUCAAUUAAUCCAAGUAGAGCUUACAAGUGCCAAGAACUCUUCUGGGUGUACUAGGA
rnacentral:lncRNA from 1 species